AACAUCGCGCACCUGCGGGAACCUGCGGAAGGAUCAUUAUCGAGUUUACAACUCCCAAACCCCUGUGAACAUACCAAUCGUUGCCUCGGCGGGACCGCCCCGGCGCCCCCGGGCCCGGACCCAGGCGCCCGCCGGAGGACCCCCAAACUCACUUGAUUCCACGGUGUAUCUUCUGAGUGACACAAGCAAAUAAAAUCAAAACUUUUAGCAACGGAUCU
rnacentral:misc_RNA from 1 species